rnacentral:rRNA from 1 species
CUAUAAUGGAGAGUUUGAUCCUGGCUCAGGACGAACGCUGGCGGCGUGCCUAAUACAUGCAAGUCGAGCGGAACUUUGGGAGCUUGCUCCAUUGUUUAGCGGCGGACGGGUGAGUAACACGUGGGCAACCUGCCUGCAGAUCGGGAUAACUCCGGGAAACCGGUGCUAAUACCGAAUAGUUUGCGGCCUCUCCUGAGGCUGCACGGAAAGACGGUUUCGGCUGUCACUGCAGGAUGGGCCGCGGCGCAUUAGCUAGUUGGUGGGGUAAUGGCUACCAAGGCGACGAUGCGUAGCCGACUGAGAGGGUGAUCGGCCACACUGGGACUGAGACACGGCCCAGACUCCUACGGGAGGCAGCAGUAGGGAAUCUUCCGCAAUGGACGAAAGUCUGACGGAGCAACGCCGCGUGAGUGACGAAGGUUUUCGGAUCGUAAAACUCUGUUGUGAGGGAAGAACAAGUACCAAGUAACUACUGGUACCUUGACGGUACCU